GGAAAUUCUUAUUCAGAGGAGUUUUCCAACACCCUACACAUGAAAAACUGCAAGAGAGCAGAGCCCAAUCUCCUCUGCAGCAGGCACAGCAUCAGAAAGAUACACUGGAGACAAAUGACACUGCUUUUCCCAAAACUCCUCUUUCAAAACUAAAGAACCCUCAUUUGUGGUUUGAUUUCCUUGUUAACUAACUUCCUCCCAGGAGCUACAGCUGCCUUGAGGGGAGAAGACCCUUUUAACCCAGUUGGGAAACUACUGCAUGCAGGCAUUGGGCUCAAACUGUUGCCAUACCCAGACAGCCUUUGUGACCUUUGC